GAUUUUGGGCGUAAGAGCUCGUAGGCGGUUUUGUCGCGUCUGCCGUGAAAGUCCGGGGCUCAACUCCGGAUCUGCGGUGGGUACGGGCAGACUAGAGUGAUGUAGGGGAGACUUGGAAUUCCUGGUGUAGCGGUGAAAUGCGCAGAUAUCAGGAGGAACACCGAUGGCGAAGGCAGGUCUCUGGGCAUUAACUGACGCUGAGGAGCGAAAGCAUGGGGAGCGAACAGGAUUAGAUACCCUGGUAGUCCAUGCCGUAAACGUUGGGCACUAGGUGUGGGGGACAUUCCACGUUUUCCGCGCCGUAGCUAACGCAUUAAGUGCCCCGCCUGGGGAGUACGGCCGCAAGGCUAAAACUCAAAGGAAUUGACGGGGGCCCGCACAAGCGGCGGAGCAUGCGGAUUAAUUCGAUGCAACGCGAAGAACCUUACCAAGGCUUGACAUGGACCGGACCGCCGCAGAAAUGUGGUUUCCCCUUUGGGGCUGGUUUACAGGUGGUGCAUGGUUGUCGUCAGCUCGUGUCGUGAGAUGUUGGGUUAAGUCCCGCAACGAGCGCAACCCUCGUUCUAUGUUGCCAGCACGUGAUGGUGGGGACUCAUAGGAGACUGCCGGGGUCAACUCGGAGGAAGGUGGGGACGACGUCAAAUCAUCAUGCCCCUUAUGUCUUGGGCUUCACGCAUGCUACAAUGGCCGGUACAAAGGGUUGCGAUACUGUGAGGUGGAGCUAAUCCCAAAAAGCCGGUCUC
rnacentral:rRNA from 1 species